rnacentral:rRNA from 1 species
UACGUAGGGGGCAAGCGUUAUCCGGAUUUACUGGGUGUAAAGGGCGCGUAGGCGGGGAUGCAAGUCAGAUGUGAAAUCCAUGGGCUCAACCAAUGAACUGCAUUUGAAACUGUAUUUCUUGAGCGCUGGAGAGGUAGACGGAAUUCCUUGUGUAGCGGUGAAAUGCGUAGAUAUAAGGAAGAACACCAGUGGCGAAGGCGGUCUACUGGACAGUAACUGACGCUGAGGCGCGAAAGCGUGGGGAGCAAAC